rnacentral:rRNA from 1 species
GACGAACGCUGGCGGCGUGCUUAACACAUGCAAGUCGAACGGAAAGGCCCCUUUGGGGGUACUCGAGUGGCGAACGGGUGCGUAACACGUGAGUAACCUGCCCUUGACUUCGGGAUAACUUCAGGAAACUGGGGCUAAUACCGGAUAGGAAUCCUUGCUGCAUGGUGGGGGUUGGAAAGCUUCGGCGGUUUUGGAUGGACUCGCGGCUUAUCAGCUUGUUGGUGGGGUAGUGGCUUACCAAGGCUUUGACGGGUAGCCGGGCUGAGAGGGCGACCGGCCACAUUGGGACUGAGAUACGGCCCAGACUCCUACGGGAGGCAGCAGUGGGGAAUAUUGCACAAUGGGCGGAAGCCUGAUGCAGCAACGCCGCGUGCGGGAUGACGGCCUUCGGGUUGUAAACCGCUUUCAGCAGGGGCGAAGCUUGUGGUGACGGUACCUGCAGAAGAAGCACCGGCUAACUACGUG